UGGGGAAUAUUGCACAAUGGGGGAAACCCUGAUGCAGCGACGCCGCGUGAGCGAAGAAGGUCUUCGAAUCGUAAAGCUCUGUCCUAUGGGAAGAUAAUGACGGUACCAUAGGAGGAAGCCCCGGCUAACUACGUGCCAGCAGCUGCGGUAAUACGUAGGGGGCAAGCGUUGUCCGGAAUCACCGGGCGUAAAGGGUUCGCAGGCGGAAAUGCAAGUCAGUUGUGAAAGGCAGAGGCUCAACCUCUGUAAGCAAUUGAAACUGUAUUUCUUGAGAUGUGUAGAGGCAAGUGGAAUUCCUGGUGUAGCGGUGAAAUGCGUAGAUAUUAGGAAGAAUACCGGUGGCGAAGGCGACUUGCUGGACACAAACUGACGCAGAGGAACGAAAGCGUGGGUAGCAAACAGG
rnacentral:rRNA from 1 species